rnacentral:piRNA from 1 species
UCAGAGAGUAGAUUGUGCAUGUGUGA